UGUAUGCAGGACAAAAUCAGCAAAAGGCUGAGAGACACAGCAGUCACCUAAGGAGCGCUCCCUCUCUGCCUCUGGAAAUGCUUACUGCGGUUGGUCGCGCGCGCACAGGCGUCAGCAGGCCUGGCAGACUGUGGAUUCCUCUGUUCAGUGGAACCACGUGAAACCUCCCUGCCGGGAAUGAGACAAACUGAAAAGCACCGAUGCUCUUAGAUAGGCCCUGUGUCUGAGGGAGGGCGGGCGCUGGCCUCUGGGCCCCAGGGGACGAAAUGCUCCAGGCAUCCUAGCUCUUGUAGAGGCUGAAAGAGUUGCUUUGUAUGCUAAUGUAUGCGUGGACUAUGCUGGGUUGUGUAGAAGAUAGAGGACGGGGAGGCUCGCAUGGACACACGGUACAUAGCCGGAUACACAUCCUUGAACACGGAACAACGGGACUGGUUGGUGAACUUCCUCUGGAACCACAGCUAAGCAACAAGUCCUCAGGGCAGAUCACUUGUGGCCAGAUCACCCUCCAAACAGGAACCAUCACAGAGUGGGGGGAUAAGCAUCCACCCAACCUCAUUUCUGCUGCUCUGUUCAAUACACCGACCAAAAGCAACCUGGUGGAGAAAUGUGAGUUAUUUUAGUUUUCCAUUUCAGGUUACUGUCCAUUAUUGUAGUGACGUCAAGACAGGAACUUCAAGCAGCCAGACACAACAUAUCCACAGUUAAUAUACAAUAAUGGAUAAAUAUGGAAGCAGGGAAGCCAGGGAUAGGUCUGCAUCGCUAAAGGCCACCCGAUUAUUUUUAUUUUAUUUAUAUAUUUAUUUAUUUAUGUCCCAAAUACUGCUCCCUCCUGCCCCCGCCCUCACAGUCCCUUCCCUCAUCUACCCCCCCCAACCUAUAUCCCCCCACCAUGGCACAAAUCUGCAGGAUUAGAUGCAUCCUCUCCCACUGAAGCCAGACAAGGCAGCGCUGUUGGAGAACAUGUUGGUAUUCUGUUGAAGGACCCUAGUUCUUCUUGAAGCAUAAGAUCUAUUAGGAGGCUUGGCCUGGUAGAAAGAAGGUAGGUUAUAAGGACCCUAAGGACUUUCACCAGCUUUACGCCCUGUCCAGAGAAUUUAGAAUAACACCUUGUUCCAGGAAAUGAGCUAACAGCGAAGAGGGCAGGGCCCUUUUCAGUCCCCCAUGCAUGCCAUCUCUCCAUUGAGGAAUGUAAGGGUCAAUGUGCGUCAUCAAGGACUAACUCAUGCUGUGUAUAAAAAAUGUGUGCCUUUGCUACUCGGGGUUGCCUCUGUCCCAAUUACAGGGCCGCCCCAGUGUGCUGGAUCAUUAAACGUCUUGCUCGAUUGC